rnacentral:lncRNA from 1 species
UGGAUGGAUGGAUAGAUGGGUAGAUGUGAAUCAUACACAGAUGUGUGGAUGAACCAGUAGGUGCGUGGAUGAAUAGAUAGGUAGAAGGGCAGAUAGGUGGAAGGGCGGAUGGGUGGAGGAUAAAUGGGUGGGAGAGUGGAGGUAACCACAGUACUUACCUGAGGCCUCUUCCUCUACUGCCUGAAUAGGGUAUGACUUCCACUCAGACUUCACCACCAGCUUGAGAACGUUGCGGGCAGCAGUCAGCCAGAAGUCCUCUGCUCCCAGGCCAGGGGAUACCCUGCUCAGCCCCUAGGCUUGAGGCCUGUUCUGGUUCCAGAACCUGAUCAUGACUUGCCCCAUUUUGGAUCCAGAACCUGACUCUACCUUUUCUGACUCUAGAGCCUGAGUUUAGAACUUGCUCCUGUUUCAGGCUGGUCACGGUGGCUGACGCCUGUAAUCCCA